AAAUGCUUUGUCUAGAUAAUACAACCAGCAGAAUCUAAUAUGAAUGGAUCCGGCUGGAUUAUCUUUAAAAUAGCCAUGAUGGAUCCAUCAUUAAAACCAUUGUAAGUCAAUGGGUGCAGGAUCCGUUUUCUUUUGUGUCCGAGAUAUC